rnacentral:tRNA from 1 species
UACCCGGUGGUGUAAUGGUAGCACAACAGGUUUUGGUCCUGUCAGUUGGGGUUCGAGUCCCUGCCGGGUAA